UACAGAGGGUGCGAGCGUUGCUCGGAAUCACUGGGCGUAAAGCGCACGUAGGCGGCUUUCUAAGUCAGGGGUGAAAUCCUGGAGCUCAACUCCAGAACUGCCUUUGAUACUGGAGAGCUUGAGUCCGGAAGAGGUGAGUGGAACUCCGAGUGUAGAGGUGAAAUUCGUAGAUAUUCGGAAGAACACCAGUGGCGAAAGCGGCUUCCUGGACCAGAACUGACGAUCAGGCUCGAAAGCGUGGGGAGCAAACAGG
rnacentral:rRNA from 1 species